AGAGGGGUUCUUAGUGAUAGCCAUGUUUAGAAAAUUCACUCAGUCAUUUUGGAAUAAAUAGAAGGCUGUGCAGCCUGAUGGUCAAUCUUCUUGAUCAAAGGGUUGGCACUUAGUCCUGUGCUCUGGCACUCUCUUCAAUCAGUGCUGAUUAGGCCAAUUGGGAGGUAAAGAAAGUAUCCAGCCCUGCAGGCCUCCUGACUGCUGCUUAGAAUCUGGCUGUUCCCUUCCAUUCUCCAAAGAAUCAGGUCUACACAGCAGCCACAGAAAGAUGUCUGAUUCAACUCCUACGGGAAAAGCAAAGCCUCAGCCAACAAGUGACUUCCAAAGUGCUUCUCCUGAUGCUUGACACCUCCUGGAGAAAAUGGACAGAAGGCUUUCUUUCUCUUCCUUUAGCCCCAUGGGUGGAGAACAACAGUGACUCCAGCAGCCUUCUGCUCAGUCUCUGUCCUGGCUCCUGGGUGCUAUUUUAAGAGGAGGCUACUGCAGACCAUCCCUUGGCUGUGUGCGUGACAAAACAGCUCAAGCCAGAGUCUUGCCUACAGCCAGACCACCCCCUCAAAGGAGAAAGUGAGGGGAGGACCUAGAGACUCAAAAGUGACACAUUUGCAGCAUGAUCCCAGACCUUCAGUGUCCUACCAGGAGAGUUCUCACUGUCAUGAAAUCAGAAGAACAAUUAAUCUAUGCAAAACCCCCUUUCUGCAAGAAUAAUACA